AUUGAACGCUGGCGGCAGGCCUAACACAUGCAAGUCGAACGGUAACAGGAAGAAGCUUGCUUCUUUGCUGACGAGUGGCGGACGGGUGAGUAAUGUCUGGGAAACUGCCUGAUGGAGGGGGAUAACUACUGGAAACGGUAGCUAAUACCGCAUAACGUCGCAAGACCAAAGAGGGGUACCUUCGGGCCUCUUGCCAUCGGAUGUGCCCAGAUGGGAUUAGCUAGUAGGUGGGGUAACGGCUCACCUAGGCGACGAUCCCUAGCUGGUCUGCGAGGAUGACCAGCCACACUGGAACUGAGACACGGUCCAGACUCCUACGGUAGGCAGCAGUGGGGAAUAUUGCACAAUGGGCGCAAGCCUGAUGCAGCCAUGCCGCGUGUAUGAAGAAGGCCUUCGGGUUGUAAAGUACUUUCAGCGGGGAGGAAGGGAGUAAAGUUAAUACCUUUGCUCAUUGACGUUACCCGCAGAAGAAGCACCGGCUAACUCCGUG
rnacentral:rRNA from 1 species